AAACAGAUGAUCUAGACCAUUGAAUUUUCAUCUGACGGAUUAGAUUACAUUCGCGUUAUUUGUAAUCUUGACCGUCCAUUCUCUCUGCUCUAUUUUUAUCUUUCUUCAAUCUCACGAUAUCACUGGUUCUCUAUCCUUCUCCCAAAAAAUCAUCAAAUUUCAGAGGAAUUUGCUUCAAUCUUCAUCAAUAAUUUGCUUCAAUCUUCAUCAAUUUCGUCUUUAGCUUCAAAAUUAAACCUGAAAAGUGAGUUUUGCGUUUCAACAAUCAAUUAUGUGAGUUAAUCAUUUUCGUCGCUGAAUAUUCAUCCCAUUGAAGCGAGUUUUGAGCUUUCUCGAUCCUCCAUUGAAGCGAGUUUGAGCUUUCUUCUCCAUUGAAGCGGCUUCUCAGGUAGUAUUUCUUAAAUUAUCGACUAUCAAUUUCACAAUCUAGGGUUUAUUUCUAGUUAAUUGCUCGAAUGUUUUUGUUAUGAAAUAUAAAUUGUUGUUUGGAUUCGAAAUUUGUUGAAUAGCAUGCGAAUUUUGUCGAUUCAAGCAUUUAAUUGUUUUUAGAUUUUAUGUGUCAUGUAUUGUGAGUUUGUGACCCUUGAAUUUAUGUAAAAUUGGGGGAUUAGAGCAAUCUUGAGCUCUUCAUUGUGCCUUUUGCUUGGUCGGUUUGUUGUCACGGAUUCAUGGGGAAUUCGAGUAGUUUAGCAUCUGUUUCUUGUGAUUGUACUGCCUUGCAUUUUGAUGCAGAGUAAAGAUGAGAAAUAGGGUUACAUUUUUGGGAACUAGCAAGCUGAACUUGGUGAAAUUGUAUAAUUUCUUGGAUUGUAUUUUCUUUAUGUUUAGUACUUUUAAGGCUUUAUAAAGAGGCUUCCAUUGCAUAUAUUGAGGCUUCCAUUGCAAAUAUUAAACAGAUUUCUACAUGUGAAGGAGACAGAAAAUUGAAGUAUGGCGAUCAUCAUGGUUUUCUCGUAAUUACACUUAUUGACACGCCAAGAGCUUAUGCUGAUCUCAAAUCUGAGGAACUUGGUCAGGGUGAAGCUAUAGCUCAAAACAUAAGGUCUAUGUUUGGACUGAGAGUUCCUGUCAUCUCAAUAGUCACCGGUGAAGGUGGUUUUGGGGGAGCUCUGGCCAUCUGUUGCUGCAAUAAAUUGUUUAUGCUUGAGAAUCCUGCUUUCUAUGUUGCUAGGUUUUCUUCGCAUCUAUUGUCUAUUUUUGGUUUCUUAUUAUUAUUCAAAUUCCUUCAUCAUUUUCCAAUACAUGCUUACCUUAUUAUUUC